rnacentral:rRNA from 1 species
AGAGUUUGAUCCUGGCUCAGGAUGAACGCUGGCGGUCUGCUUAACACAUGCAAGUCGAACGCAACCUUCGGGUUGAGUGGCGGACGGGUGAGUAACGCGUGAGAAUCUGCCUUAGGGUCGGGGACAACCACUGGAAACGGUGGCUAAUACCGGAUAAGCCGAUUGGUGAAAGAUUUAUUGCCCGAAGAGGAGCUCGCGUCUGAUUAGCUAGUUGGUGAGGUAAGAGCUCACCAAGGCAGCGAUCAGUAGCUGGUCUGAGAGGACGAUCAGCCACACUGGGACUGAGACACGGCCCAGACUCCUACGGGAGGCAGCAGUGGGGAAUUUUCCGCAAUGGGCGAAAGCCUGACGGAGCAAGACCGCGUGAGGGAGGAAGGCUCUUGGGUUGUAAACCUCUUUUCUCAGGGAAGAAGCUCUGACGGUACCUGAGGAAUCAGCCUCGGCUAACUCCGUGCCAGCAGCCGCGGUAAUACGGAGGAGGCAAGCGUUAUCCGGAAUUAUUGGGCGUAAAGCGUCCGCAGGUGGCGAUUCAAGUCUGCUGUCAAAGCACGGGGCUUAACUCCGUUAAGGCAGUGGAAACUGAAUAGCUAGAGUGCCGUAGGGGUAGAGGGA